GACGAACGCUGGCGGCGUGCUUAACACAUGCAAGUCGAACGGAAAGGCCCUGCCUUUGUGGGGUGCUCGAGUGGCGAACGGGUGAGUAACACGUGAGUAACCUGCCCUUGACUUUGGGAUAACUUCAGGAAACUGGGGCUAAUACCGGAUAGGAGCUCCUGCUGCAUGGUGGGGGUUGGAAAGUUUCGGCGGUUGGGGAUGGACUCGCGGCUUAUCAGCUUGUUGGUGGGGUAGUGGCUUACCAAGGCUUUGACGGGUAGCCGGCCUGAGAGGGUGACCGGCCACAUUGGGACUGAGAUACGGCCAAGAAUCCUACGGGAGGCAGCAGUGGGGAAUAUUGCACAAUGGGCGGAAGCCUGAUGCAGCAACGCCGCGUGCGGGAUGACGGCCUUCGGGUUGUAAACCGCUUUCGCCUGUGACGAAGCGUGAGUGACGGUAAUGGGUAAAGAAGCACCGGCUAACUACGUG
rnacentral:rRNA from 1 species